rnacentral:lncRNA from 1 species
UUGAUGCAGCCUCUGGUUCUCAACCUGGUAAAGAUGCAAGCCGCAAGCUGUCUUCAACCUCUGGAAGAAAUGCAAGGGAAAAUCAAGAAGCAGAAAAAAGGGGCUACUCAACUGUUGUUUCUUCACCUGGUAAGGCUGAAUCUCCUUGGUUAACACUUAAUUUUAGAGAUUUAUACAUGAUAAUUUGCUGCUCAACUUUAGAUGUCAUUGCUGAUACACUGAGACUGAACCCCCAAAUAAACUGCAAUUAUAAGCUUUGUGGUCUUAUGCUUAGUAACCCUGGUUUAAAAUUUCAUGUGUCUGGGUGUAAAAUGUGCUGGUAUGGUGGCUUGUCCUUCUUAUUACAAAAGUUUAUGCACAUUUGAUAUCGAAUAACACCCAUAUACAGUCUAAAGGUAAUUUAUUUACCUCAAAUGAUAAAUGAUUGACCUUCCUCAAAUCAUAAAUUGCUGACUCAUGUAUCAGCAUGCUUCAUCUGUUCAAGGGAGAGGUGGCUUGUCCUGCUUAUUACAAAAGUUUAUGCAUAUUCAAUAUCAAAUGUCAUCCAUGUGUGCUCUAAAUCUAACAUUGAUACUUAAAAUGAUAAAUGGCUAAUUCACCUUAAAUCAUAAAUGGCCAACUCAUGCUUCAUCUAGUACUUUCACAAGAGCAUUAGUGUUAGAGAGAGAGAGAGAUAGAGCUUAGUACUUUGACACCACCAUCUAGUACUUUCACAUGAGCAUUAGUGUCACAGAGAGAGUGAGAGAGAGCUUCAUCUAGUACUUUGACACCAUCAUCCAUCAUUAGUGAGAGGAAAGAGGUGGAAACCUCAAAUCAUGAAUGGCUGACUCAUGUUUCAUCUAGUACUUUCACACGAGUUAUGGUGCUAGAGAAGGACAACGUAACUUUGGAACACAGAGACUUGAGUAUGACUUUUGAGAAUAUGCCUUUUCUGGAGGCAUUUCACUCUAACUUAUUGACAAACUUGAUCUGAAAGUACACCAAAUUCAGAGGGUGUAAAAACUCUGCCACCAUCUCCUAAUCCCAAUUAAAGAUCCUAGAUCUUGGAUUCGAACAAGCAGUCAUCCCUGCCCUUGCCUCUAAAUAAUACACCACUCAACCAUCUCUAUGAACUGCUAGAGUGAAAAGAGCCGAAAAAGGAUACUUUUAACUUCAUUUCCUCACACCACUGAGCUAUCCGAAAUUUUUUGUUUCAUCCUUACGAAUGGAGAUGCUGGUUCUCACUCGAAAAUCUUCCUAACCUACAUAUUGCUUUCUAGAGGCUGCAAUCAAAAACCUCCCUACAGAUCCUGGAGCACUGACCCCGCCUGCUAUAUCACCAUACUUCCUCCUGAUGUCUCUCCUCUAAAGGCAAUCACGAUCACAAGAAAAUCUCUAUAACCAUUUUCAAGUAACACCUUAUUCAACAGUAAGAGCCUUCUUACCUCUAUGCUUCCUUUGCUCCUCUUGGAGAACACCUUGCCCCACUAGCUACAAGGAUCUCCAUUGGAAGGUUGACUCUCUUAUAGAAACUCUAUCUAAAUUUUCUCCAAUCUGGGUUGCACUUUCUUUGGGAUCACUCAGGAAGACAUGAUGGAAAGGCUAGUAAGGGCAAUUUUUUCUUUAAAAAAAAAAAGCUUGCCACUAUUUGAGAUCAAACUUCUUCCAAGAGGCCAAUCUUUUUUAGAUCUCAUCUCUACUAAAUCCCAAACAACAACAAAUUUUGAAGAGGCUCCCAAAUGCAAACCCAGAUAUAUUGUGGGAAACUAACCCAGUCUACACCCAAAACAUAAGGCUAGUUUCUCAACCGUCUCUACUAACUCUAUUGGAAUAUGCUCACUCUUUUCCAUAUUUAUUUUUAAGCUUGAAACAACUUCAAAACACAUCAACACCUAUCUCGAGUAUAAUAAUUGCUUGCUGGUAGCAUCAAAAAAAAAAAAAAAUGAAAGAAAGCCAGAUCUGUGAAGAGAAUAUGGAAGAUCAAAAGACCACCCUAUUCCCUUCCUUUUAGCUUGAAGUUAUUAAUGAAACCUGUGUCAACUACCCGGUCCAUGUUGCGAAACAAGACUCCUAGUACCAAAAUAAAUAAGUAGGGAGAGAGGUGAUCUCCUUGCCUGGGUCCUCUUGAACUCUGGAAGAUACCAAUUGGAAUCCUAUCCACUAACAUUGAAAAAUGAACUAUAUACAUACAUAAUUUAAUCCAAUCAUUGCAUUUUUCCCCCGAAACACAUACUGUUCAUCACCCAAAAAGGAAGCUUUAGUUCACAUGAUCAUAAGCUUUCUCUUUAUCCAAUUUGCGGGCCAACUCUUCUCUUGGGCUUUUGAUUUUGAAGUCACUAGCCUCAUUUUCAAUCUAACACUGUUCGACAAUUGAAGGCAGGUAGGUUGAAUAAUCUGAAUAAACAAUCAGC